UCUAAAUACUAUCCAACAGUGUUCAUAAUUACAAAGUGUACAAACUAUCACUCUAUGUAUUCAAACUAAGCUGCAUGCUAUGUCUGUGUUGAAAUUUUCCAGACAAUACAGCAUAUAUACGACGAGCAAAUUUCUUAUGGACACUGAAGACUUGCCCCAUGCAACACCUUAGUUGUUCGUGUAUAUAACUUUGAACUGAAAAGUUUCAAGUUUUUUCGAAAUCUGGAAUCCGAAGUUUUGGC